GACGAACGCUGGCGGCGUGCUUAACACAUGCAAGUCGAACGGAAAGGCCCUGCUUUUGUGGGGUGCUCGGGUGGCGAACGGGUGAGUAACACGUGAGUAACCUGCCCUUGACUUUGGGAUAACUUCAGGAAACUGGGGCUAAUACCGGAUAGGAGCUCCUGCUGCAUGGUGGGGGUUGGAAAGUUUCGGCGGUUGGGGAUGGACUCGCGGCUUAUCAGCUUGUUGGUGGGGUAGUGGCUUACCAAGGCUUUGACGGGUAGCCGGCCUGAGAGGGUGACCGGCGACAUUGGGACUGAGAGAGGGACCAGACGCCUACGGGAGGCAGCAGUGGGGAAUAUUGCACAAUGGGCGGAAGCCUGAGGCAGCAACGCCGCGUGCGGGAUGACGGCCUUCGGGUUGUAAACCGCUUUCGCCUGUGACGAAGCGUGAGUGACGGUAAUGGGUAAAGAAGCACCGGCUAACUACGUG
rnacentral:rRNA from 1 species